rnacentral:lncRNA from 1 species
AGAAGCCUCUCACAAUCCAGUGGCGGCUGUUUACACAUACCAGCUGUCUGCGAGGGGGUUUUUUAAUUUAUACACAGGCAUGGAUAUGUAUCCAGAUAUCUUUCCUGGAAGUUGUUUACCACCCUGGAGGCAUCAGGGAGAUCUGGGGAGGACACGAACCCACCACCCUACAAGGAGAUGGAGUUGAGAGCUGCCUGCCUAACUGGGGACUGAAAGCGAGGAAGAAAUAGUCGUGGUGGUGAAGGGGCUUGGCAAGAUCCUGACUUGUUGCUGUAGCAAUGGAAGGGCAGCGAAGGGCUUGGCUUGACUUUGGGCUUGUCAAGGCAGAUCCCACCUCAGCAGUCAUAGCAAAGAGUAUGUAUCCGAGCCCAAAGGAGGCAGAACUAAGAGUGGAG